rnacentral:rRNA from 1 species
CCUACGGAGGGCAGCAGUAGGGAAUUUUCGUCAAUGGGCGCAAGCCUGAACGAGCGAUGCCGCGUGAGUGAAGAAGGCCUUCGGGUCGUAAAGCUCUGUUGCGGGGGAAAAAAGGCAGCAUCAGGAAAUGGGUGCUGACUGAUGGUGCCCCGCCAGAAAGUCACGGCUAACUACGUGCCAGCAGCCGCGGUAAUACGUAGGUGGCGAGCGUUAUCCGGAAGGAUUGGGCGUAAAGGGUGCGCAGGCGGUCCUGCAAGUCUGGAGUGAAACGCAUGAGCUCAACUCAUGCAUGGCUUUGGAAACUGGAGGACUGGAGAGCAGGAGAGGGCGGUGGAACUCCAUGUGUAGCGGUAAAAUGCGUAGAUAUAUGGAAGAACACCAGUGGCGAAGGCGGCCGCCUGGCCUGUUGCUGACGCUGAGGCACGAAAGCGUGGGGAGCAAAUAGGAUUAGAUACCCCAGUAGUC